GACAGAGGUGCCGAGCGUUAGGCGGAAUCACUGGGCUUAAAGCGUGUGUAGGCGGGUCGUUAAGUGCCUUGUGAAAUCCCACGGCUCAACCGUGGAACUGCUGGGCAUACUGCCGAUCUUGAGCCAGCUAGGGGCAACCGGAACAAACGUGGAGCGGUGAAAUGCGUAGAUAUCGUUUGGAACGCCAAUGGUGAAACAGGUUUGCUGGGCUGUGCUGACGCUGAGACACGAAAGCCAGGGAGCGAACGGG
rnacentral:rRNA from 1 species